AUUGAACGCUGGCGGCAUGCCUUACACAUGCAAGUCGAACGGCAGCACGGGUGCUUGCACCUGGUGGCGAGUGGCGAACGGGUGAGUAAUACAUCGGAACGUACCUUAUCGUGGGGGAUAACGCAGCGAAAGUUGCGCUAAUACCGCAUACGCCCUGAGGGGGAAAGCGGGGGACCGUAAGGCCUCGCGCGAUUAGAGCGGCCGAUGUCUGAUUAGCUUAAUGGUGAGGUAAAAGCUCACCAAGGCGAUGAUCAGUAGCUGGUCUGAGAGGACGAUCAGCCACACUGGGACUGAGACACGGCCCAGACUCCCACGGGAGGCAGCAGUGGGGAAUUUUGGACAAUGGGGGCAACCCUGAUCCAGCAAUGCCGCGUGAGUGAAGAAGGCCUUCGGGUUGUAAAGCUCUUUUGUCAGGGAAGAAACAGCAGCUCUAACACAGUCUGCGAAUGACGGUACCUGAAGAAUAAGCACCGGCUAACUACGUGCCAGCAGCCGCAGUAA
rnacentral:rRNA from 1 species